UAAAUAAGGGAACAGCAUCACAGAUGUUAAAUCCCUGAUAACUGAUGCCUCGGGGACAGCUCGAAGAAAGUGUGUUCCAAAACUGAUGAGGUCAUGAGUCUGUUGUCUCCCAAACUAGAUUCACCCAAGAGCAACAAGUUACGAAGGCAUCGAGAAAUCAUGGACAACAGCUGAGUCUUAUCACUGUGUGGCAGGGAUGGAUUUCUGGAAGACAUGCAAGAAGAGGCUACUGAUGAGAGUGCACCCCAGUUGCAACAAGGAGUCACAUUAAAAGUACUGACCUGAGUCUCAGAAGACAUUUUGAACUUCUAAAUAAUAUUUAACCGAUGAUAAAUAAGAUACUGUAACCAGUAUCCUUCGCGUUCACUUUAAGAUAUAUUAAUUCCACACAGAUUCAAGUCUUCUAACUGUCCAUGUUAAGGAUCCAUUGAAUUGGAGCUGUAUCAGUGCUCUUCAUGAAACAUAAAUGUGGCUGCAUUUCUAAGGAAAAGUGACCCUUGCUCAUCCAGCAGUCAUCAGUACUAAUGGAACCCAGGAUUAUUUCCAAGAAGUGCAAAUAUGGAUGAAGUUGAGAUUUGGACUUUCUAUCUUUGUGACGAACUGAGUUGGAGUUUUGAUGGGGAAUUGCACUGGAACUGUAUAUUGCUUUUGGUAAAAUGGACAUUUUUAUUAUGUUAAUCCUACUGAUACGUGAUCAUGGAAAGUCUUACAAUUUUCUGAUGUCUUUUUUGCGUUCUUGCUUCAGAGAUUUGAAAUUCUUGUCAUACACACCUUUCACUUGCCAGUUAGAGUCACACCAAUAUAUUAUGCAUUACUCAUGGCUAAUAUAAGGGGUGUUGUUUCCCUAAUAUCUUUCUCAAUAUGUUUGUAUUUUCCAUAGAGGAAGGCUACUGAUUUGAGGUGCCACAACAUGGGCCAAAAAAAUAGAAAUCAUCAGAGUUCCAUACAUGAAGCAUCAUUAAGAAUUAGGGAAUUGAUUUCCAUAUAUUUUCCUCCUCUGACCAAUGAAAUAAAUGCAAUCUCCCAUAAGUACUUUGAUUUAAUUUUAAUGUCUUAAGAAGGAUGACCAUAACAUCUAUAUUUUCUUUGAAUUACUAAUUUUUGAAAAUAGAUUUUUUCACACAAUAUAUUCUAAUUUUGUCAUACCCUAUAUUCCCCUAACUUAUUCUUGCCACCUGCAGAACCACCUAAUGCUAAUGUUCUCUCUCUCUCUCUCUCUCUCUCUCUCUCUCUCUCUCUCU
rnacentral:sRNA from 1 species